rnacentral:rRNA from 1 species
UACAGAGACUGCAAGCGUUAUUCGGAUUCACUGGGCGUAAAGGGUGCGCAGGCGGUUGGGUGUGUCAGAUGUGAAAUCCCGAGGCUUAACCUCGGAACUGCGUCUGAAACUACUCGACUAGAGUACUGGAGAGGGAAACGGAAUUCACGGUGUAGCAGUGAAAUUCGUAGAUAUCGAGAAGAACACCGGUGGCGAAGGCGGCCAUCUGGACGGUGACUGACGCUGAGACGCGAAAGCGUGGGGAGCAAACAGG